GAUGAACGCUGGCGGCGUGCCUAAUACAUGCAAGUAGAACGCUGAAGCUUGGUGCUUGCACCGAGCGGAUGAGUUGCGAACGGGUGAGUAACGCGUAGGUAACCUGCCUCUUAGCGGGGGAUAACUAUUGGAAACGAUGGCUAAUACCGCAUAAAAGUCGAUAUCGCAUGAUAUUGAUUUGAAAGGUGCAAAUGCAUCACUAAGAGAUGGACCUGCGUUGUAUUAGCUAGUUGGUGAGGUAACGGCUCACCAAGGCGACGAUACAUAGCCGACCUGAGAGGGUGAUCGGCCACACUGGGACUGAGACACGGCCCAGACUCCUACGGGAGGCAGCAGUAGGGAAUCUUCGGCAAUGGGGGCAACCCUGACCGAGCAACGCCGCGUGAGUGAAGAAGGUUUUCGGAUCGUAAAGCUCUGUUGUAAGAGAAGAACGAGUGUGAGAGUGGAAAGUUCACACUGUGACGGUAACUUACCAGAAAGGACGGCUA
rnacentral:rRNA from 1 species